rnacentral:rRNA from 1 species
GGACCCGCACAAGUAGUGGAGCAUGUGGUUUAAUUCGAAGAUACGCGCAGAACCUUACCAACACUUGACAUGUUCGUCGCGACUUUAAGAGAUUAAAGUUUUCGGUUCGGCCGGACGAAACACAGGUGCUGCAUGGCUGUCGUCAGCUCGUGUCGUGAGAUGUUGGGUUAAGUCCCGCAACGAGCGCAACCCUCACUUUUAGUUGCCAUCAUUAAGUUGGGCACUCUGAAAGAACUGCCAGUGAUAAGCUGGAGGAAGGUGGGGAUGACGUCAAGUCCUCAUGGCCCUUACGUGUUGGGCUACACACGUGCUACAAUGGUAUUUACAACAGGAAGCAAAACGGCAACGUUAAGCAAAUCCUAAAAAAUACCUCAGUUCGGAUUGCACUCUGCAACUCGAGUGCAUGAAGCUGGAAUUACUAGUAAUCG